GAUGAACGCUGGCGGCGUGCUUAACACAUGCAAGUCGAACGGUGAAGCUCCAGCUUGCUGGAGUGGAUCAGUGGCGAACGGGUGAGUAACACGUGAGCAACCUGCCCCUGACUCUGGGAUAACAGCCGGAAACGGCUGCUAAUACCGGAUAUGCACCAUGAACGCAUGUUCUGUGGUGGGAAAGAUUUUUCGGUUGGGGAUGGGCUCGCGGGCUAUCAGCUUGUUGGUGAGGUAAUGGCUCACCAAGGCGUCGACGGGUAGCCGGCCUGAGAGGGUGACCGGCCACACUGGGACUGAGACACGGCCCAGACUCCUACGGGAGGCAGCAGUGGGGAAUAUUGCACAAUGGGCGAAAGCCUGAUGCAGCAACGCCGCGUGAGGGAUGACGGCCUUCGGGUUGUAAACCUCUUUUAGCAGGGAAGAAGCGAGAGUGACGGUACCUGCAGAAAAAGCGCCGGCUAACUACGUG
rnacentral:rRNA from 1 species